CUGCCCCUCAAGCGCGGCUUGUGUGUUGGGCCGCCGUCCCCUGCGCCUCCGGGCAAGGGGGACGGGCCCGAAAGGCAGUGGCGGCGCCGCGUCCGGUCCUCGAGCGUAUGGGGCUUUGUCACCCGCUCAGUAGGUCGGGCCGGGGCCUUUGCCCUCUCCAACCUUUUUUUCCUUA
rnacentral:misc_RNA from 1 species